rnacentral:rRNA from 1 species
AACGAACGCUGGCGGCGUGGAUUAGGCAUGCAAGUCGAACGAGAAUCUGAGAGUUCAAGUUUUCGGACAAGAACUUUUGGAGGAAAGUGGCGGAAGGGUGAGUACAACAUGGAUAAUCUACCUUCAAGUUGGGUAUAGCUUCCCGAAAGGGGAGAUAAUCCCGAAUGUGGUGAUCCGGCGCAUGCCGGAGAAUCCAAAGGCGGGGACCGCAAGGCCUGCCGCUUGGAGAUGAGUCCGUGCACUAUCAGCUAGUUGGCGGGGUAACGGCCCACCAAGGCGAUGACGGUUAGCUGGUCUGAGGGGAUGGUCAGCCACACUGGGACUGAGAUACUGCCCAGACUCCUACGGGAGGCUGCAGUCGAGAAUCAUUCGCAAUGGGCGCAAGCCUGACGGUGCGACGUCGCGUGGAGGAUGAAGGUCUUCGGAUUGUAAAACUCCUGUCAUGUGGGAGAAAUGGCCCGGGUCUGAACAGGACCUGGGAAUGAUAGUACCACG